rnacentral:lncRNA from 1 species
CCAAAGAAUUGAAGUAUUCUUAAUCAUGGGACGAUGCGUGGGCUCCUGGAAUAGCUGACUAAUCUUUGAAUGCUGAGAUUUUUUUUCCCCCUCAUUCCUAGUUUCUCACAUGGUCAUAGAGGAAGUUAAUUUCAUGCAGAACCAUCUUGAAAUAGAGAAGACUUGUCGAGAAAGUGCUGAAGCUUUGGCAACAAAGCUAAAUAAAGAAAAUAAAACGUUGAAAAGAAUCAGCAUGUUGUACAUGGCCAAGCUGGGACCAGAUGUAAUAACUGAAGAGAUAAACAUUGAUGAUGAAGAUUCGACUACAGACACAGACGGUGCCGCCGAGACUUGUGUCUCAGUACAGUGUCAGAAGCAA